CGUACGCAACAGGGGCGUCCGCGCAAAGCGGGCUGAGAAGCACCCUUUGAACCUGAACCGGAUCAUGCCGGCGGAGGGAGUUGUAUGGUGGCCGCG
rnacentral:ncRNA from 2 species